rnacentral:rRNA from 1 species
GCAGCGAAGCCGCGAGGCGGAGCAAAUCUCCAAAAAAUAGUCUCAGUUCAGAUUGCAGGCUGCAACUCGACCUGCAUGAAGUCGGAAUUGCUAGUAAUCGUAGGUCAGCAUACUACGGUGAAUACGUUCCCGGGCCUUGUACACACCGCCCGUCAAACCAUGAGAGUUGGCAACACCCGAAGUCGGUAGUCUAACCGCAAGGAGGACGCCGCCGAAGGUGGGGUCGAUGAUUAGGGUUAAGUCGUAACAAGGUAGC